GAAACAGACUGCUUCUCGGGAGGACUAGCCGUGCCAUUUCUAGGACUAGAGACGACAAUGAAGCAAGAGUUCAUGGAAACGUUGAGAGGUUUCUACAGAGGACUCUUACCAAAUCUUGUAGUAGAUCCAAGCAUAUAUAACUUAUAAUUAUGUGAGAUAACAGUAACAAGCUGAUUUACAUUUCUCAACUAUCGAUAUUUUGUAUGAUCAUUUACAUUUUAAUCUCGACUAUAAAAUAUGAUCCACGAUACUGACAACGAUCGUAUACCUAUAAACAUUUGUUUAUAUAUAAUGGUACUCUCAA
rnacentral:lncRNA from 1 species